rnacentral:rRNA from 1 species
CGGCAUGCCUAAGACAUGCAAGUCGAACGAAGUGGCCCGUUGACAUUGGUGCUUGCACUAGAUAGAUUCGGAUUCCACUAGUGGCGAAAGGGUGAGUAACACGUGGGUUAUCUACCUCAGAGACUGGAAUAACAAUUGGAAACGAUUGCUAAUGCCGGAUGAUAUAUAGAAUGAUACGUUGUUCUAUAUUAAAAGGAGCCUUUAAAGCUUCACUUUGAGAUGAGCUUGCGGCGUAUUAGCUAGUUGGUAAGGUAAUGGCUUACCAAGGCAACGAUGCGUAGCCGGCCUGAGAGGGUGAUCGGCCACAUUGGGACUGAGACACGGCCCAAACUCCUACGGGAGACAGCAGUUAGGAAUAUUCGUCAAUGGGGGAAACCCUGAACGAGCAAUGCCGCGUGAGUGAAUGAAGGUCCUCUGGAUUGUAAAACUCUGUUGUUAGGGAAGAACGACCAGUAUAGGAAAUGAUACUGGAGUGACUGUACCUUUCAAGAAAGCUCCGGCUAACUACGUGCCAGCCGCCGC